rnacentral:rRNA from 1 species
AUGCACGCUUGCGGCGUGCCUCAUACAUGCAAGUCGAGCGAACAGACGAGGAGCUUGCUCCUCUGACGUUAGCGGCGGACGGGUGAGUAACACGUGGAUAACCUACCUAUAAGACUGGGAUAACUUCGGGAAACCGGAGCUAAUACCGGAUAAUAUAUUGAACCGCAUGGUUCAAUAGUGAAAGACGGUUUUGCUGUCACUUAUAGAUGGAUCCGCGCCGCAUUAGCUAGUUGGUAAGGUAACGGCUUACCAAGGCGACGAUGCGUAGCCGACCUGAGAGGGUGAUCGGCCACACUGGAACUGAGACACGGUCCAGACUCCUACGGGAGGCAGCAGUAGGGAAUCUUCCGCAAUGGGCGAAAGCCUGACGGAGCAACGCCGCGUGAGUGAUGAAGGUCUUCGGAUCGUAAAACUCUGUUAUUAGGGAAGAACAAAUGUGUAAGUAACUAUGCACGUCUUGACGGUACCUAAUCAGAAAGCCACGGCUAACUACGUG